rnacentral:rRNA from 1 species
CCUACGGGUGGCAGCAGUGGGGAAUAUUGGACAAUGGGGGGAACCCUGAUCCAGCCAUGCCGCAUGUGUGAAGAAGGCCCUCGGGUUGUAAAGCACUUUCAGUGAGGAAGAACGCCUGGUGUUAAUACCCAUCAGGAAAGACAUCACUCACAGAAGAAGCACCGGCUAACUCCGUGCCAGCAGCCGCGGUAAUACGGAGGGUGCGAGCGUUAAUCGGAAUUACUGGGCGUAAAGCGCGCGUUGGUGGCUUGAUAAGCCGGUUGUGAAAGCCCGGGGCUCAACCUGGGAACGGCAUCCGGAACUGUCAAGCUAGAGUGCAGGAGAGGAAGGUAGAAUUCCCGGUGUAGCGGUGAAAUGCGUAGAGAUCGGGAGGAAUACCAGUGGCGAAGGCGGCCUUCUGGACUGACACUGACACUGAGGUGCGAAAGCGUGGGUAGCAAACAGGAUUAGAUACCCGGGUAGUC